CAAUAGCGUAUAUUAACGUUGUUGCAGUUAAAAAGCUCGUAGUUGGAUUUGUGGUUCGUCCCGCCGGCUGGGUCAUUGACUUUUGCUGUGCUGGUCGUCCAUCCUUGGGUGGAAUCUGUGUGGCAUUAGGUUGUCGCGCAGGGGAUGCCCAUCGUUUACUGUGAAAAAAUUAGAGUGUUCAAAGCAGGCUUAUGCCGUUGAAUAUAUUAGCAUGGAAUAAUGAUAUAGGACCUUGGUACUAUUUUGUUGGUUUGCGCACUGAGGUAAUGAUUAAUAGGGACAGUUGGGGGUAUUCGUAUUCCAUUGUAAGAGGUGAAAUUCUUGGAUUUUUGGAAGACGAACUACUGCGAAAGCAUUUACCAAGGAUGUUUUCAUUAA
rnacentral:rRNA from 1 species